GCUUUACUGUAACCUGGAAUUGGGUUCGGCCUUUUGCGCAGACUAAGUGGGAGGCGUAGAAAUUUUCUUUCGGAAAAUGGAGCCAUUAUUGAGAGACCACUCUGGAAGAGCUAGAAUCCUAAUAGUGAUCCUUGUAUCAGGAUAAUUGACAGUUUCAGGUAGGCAGUUUCUCUGGGGCGGAGGCCUCCUAAAGGUAACGGAGGCGCGCAAAGGUUCCUCAGGCUGGACGGAAAUCAGCGAGAAUGUAAAGGUAUAAGGAGCUUGACUGCAAGACCUACAAGUCGAGCAGGGCGAAAGCCGGCCUUAGUGAUCCGACGGACCGCCG
rnacentral:rRNA from 1 species